CAACCCGCCUUCGCCGCAGGUGUUCCUCUCGAUAUCUACGCAUUUCACCGCUACACCGAGAAUUCCAGUUGCCCCUUCUGCACUCUAGCCCCGCAGUAUCGGCUGACCUUUCCGGGUUAAGCCCGGAGAUUUCACAGUCGACUUGCGGUGGCCGCCUACGCGCCCUUUACGCCCAGUAAAUCCGAACAACGCUUGCUCCCCCCGUAUUACCGCGGCUGCUGGCACGGAGUUAGCCGGAGCUUCUUAUACCGGUACCGUCAAACCCUUGCGGGCAUUCGUCCCGGUCGAAAAGGGUUUACACUCCGAGGAGCUUCAUCCCCCACGCGGCGUUGCUGCGUCAGGCUUUCGCCCAUUGCGCAAGAUUCCCCACUGCUGCCUCCCGUAGGAGUCUGGACCGUGUCUCAGUUCCAGUGUGGCCGGCCAACCUCUCAGUCCGGCUACCGAUCAUCGCCUUGGUGAGCCAUUACCUCGCCAACAAGCUAAUCGGCCGCGGAUCCCUCUACCGGCGCCUUGCGGCUUUGAAUGCAAGGGCAUGCGCCCUCGCAAUGUUAUGCGGUAUUAGCCCAACUUUCGCUGGGUUAUUCCCCACCAGAAGGAAGAUUAUCCACGUGUUACGCACCCGUUCGCCACGGCUGUAUUGCUACAGCCGUUCGACUUGCAUGUGUUAAGCACGCCGCCAGCGUUCGCUCUGAGCCAGGAUCAAACUC
rnacentral:rRNA from 1 species